UCGGGGCAUGCAGACUCCCGGCAAUCCCAAGACGGUUUUCCGUCCAAGCUCUGC
rnacentral:ncRNA from 1 species